rnacentral:tRNA from 1 species
GGCGCGGUGCCCAAGUGGACUAAGGGAGGGGUUUGCAAAACCUCGAUUCGUCGGUUCGAAUCCGACCCGCGCCUCCA